GGCCUAUUAAUAAUUCUAAAUAUGUAUUAAAUUAAAUUAAAAGUUUUUAUGAAUGAUACUUACAUCUUAUUCUAUGUAUAUACACGCACACACACAUUUAUUUAUUUAUUUAUAACACAACUAUUAUAAGGCAAAAACAACAACAAAGGUAUUUCAAUCUCCAUCGUGACAGCUCUAUCCAGAAGCUGUGGAAGUACGAUUCAUUCCCAGCCUACACGUCCCACAGUGCACCGGGCGUCCCCCCUCCCUCCUCCCCAACAGCGCUUUCCCUCUUCUCCUCUUCUCGCAGCCUGAGUUUCUGUCUAUCGGUGUUGUUGUUGAAGCGAUGAUGGCGGCAGCGGGAUGCGGAUCAGCAACCGCGGCUGCCGUCGUGGGCGCGGCGCGGGGACGCUUCCCCGGUCGGCCUUGGUCGUCGCGGAGCCGUUUGCGUUCGGAGAAGCGAUGGCAGCUCGGCCGCUCUGGGACGGAUCUUGACGAGAUCUCCUCCAACGGAGGCCCGAGGCCCACCUGCCUGGUGCUCGCGCUGAACGAGGACCAGUCUCACUUGUGCCUUCUCGGGCUUGAGGCGAGCUACAAGAGCCUGGUAGAGGCUGGAUACAGCUCGAGUGGGAGCGAAGAGGGAGCUGAAUUCAAAGGCUUUGAAGUUGAAGAUGAAAAUAGCAGUGCCCCGGUUCAUGCUGGACGAAAUGCAUGUAAACGUAAGUGUGGCUUCAGAUGCAAAUUAUCCUGAGAAUCUCCAAAAUUCAUUUGUUUCAUUGUGUUUGUACAGCUUUUUAUCUAAAAAUCCCAUCCCAUACAAUUAAAAAGGAAAAAAAAGUAAUUUUUCAUCUACUAUACAACCAGUGUUAAUUUUGACAGGGAUUUUUGAUUUAGUCUUUAUUUUGAUGAAAAUACUUAAUAAUCUUAGUCACAUUUUAGUCAUAUGUUUCUUUUAUAUAGUUUUAGUCAACGAAAAGUCAUUGUAUUUUUGUCAACGUUUAGUCAUUACUUUGUCAAACUGCAGUUACCAACAUUUGGUUUGGUAGUUAUUUUCUGUGUACUCUAUGAUAAAUUUUAAUCAAGGAUUGAAUUUGGAAAAAACUUGAAUAAAUAAUGACGGUUUUAAUUUGUGGGUGGACUAUCCCUUCAAUAGUAGUGAGAAGGGAGCAACUUAAAAAAUAUAUAGUUGUUCAUGUAUAUUUAAUAAUUAAUCAUCUUUAAAAAAAAAGAAGCAUAAUAAGAUAAUACGACAAAUAAAAAAAAGAGAUACAAAUUAAAUUCAUUUUUUUUAGAUACAUUAGGUUUACUUAAAAUAUUUAUUUAAUAUUUGUUGGUUAACAUUAGGGCUGUGCGAUUAAUCAUAAUUGAAAUAAAAUCGCGAUUUGAGUGUGCGCGAUUUCUAAAUCGCUUUAAAGCACGAUUUUCCGUGGCCCCUGCCUCCCGCAGUAUGUUAAUUGAACCAAUAAGGAUGCAGCACGCCUAAGUGGAGCGCGAGAACAGAGCAGGCUGGGCAUAUGCCUAACUUCAGGUUCACACAAUGUCUGUAAUAGUCUGUGUAGCCUUUUUUUUUUUUUAACUGAUCAGAACGUUCACACUGCACGCAGUAAAAAGAUGAGAACAGAAAAGGUUAUAAAUAGAAAGGUGCGAAAAGAUUUCAUAUGAUCUGAGCAUGCGCAUCUGGUUAUGUUAACAGAGCAAAGAAAAUCUGCGUCCGAGUGGAUAGAUUCGCACUCGUGCAUGAUUUUAAUGUGCUUUCGCCUUACAAUAAUGUGCUCUCGUUGCUGCUUCUGAACCAUGUACACAUAACUUACUGUAUACGCACUGCAGACGGAGUACGUGUGAACUUUGGGCAAUAAAUAUAUUGGUCAAAACAUAUAACACCUAAGGCACCGCUACAGUUAGCUCGAUGACCAAUGCAUGGCAAAAAAUAAAAAAAUAAAUAAAUCCCUGAACACGGGUUUUAUUUUAUUUUUGUAUUAUUAUUUUUUGCCAUAUGUCUAGACAUUUUGUUUGACAUCUUUACUUAGUGAUUAUUUUGACUUAUGUCUGUUCUAGAGACAUGCUACAACUUUCUGAUAAUGCUCUCAUUGGUUUUCUUUUGGAAAUAUGUUUCAAAUUUAUACUGAAUGCAUUUAUGACUGUAAAGCAUGUCUGUGUGUGUCAAAAUCGUGAUUAAAAUCGAAAACGCAAAAUUGAUAAAAAAAUCGUGAUAUUUUUUUUUUUGUCCAUAUCACACAGCCCUGGUUAACAUUAAUGACACAGAUAGGUAGGCUACUUAAAUAGGAAUGCUGUCCCUUUAAGACUGCAUGCAUGUAAUACUGACACACGUUUACUUUUUCACCCACCUGUUCACCUUCACUUAAUCCAUUGCUGUGUUUAUGUGAGAUAUUCUACACAAUAGACAUGUACACUGCCGUGUGUGUAUUUGAGCGCUGAGAACUGAUUGUGCACUGUAUAUGAGAACUGAAGAAGUGGAGCAUGGGCGAGAGAGAGCACCACCAUCAGCAGGAUUCUGCCUAUCCCGCCGGUGACUCCUGGGGGAAAACUAGAUGUCUGGUCACCUCAUCCAUAACUUUUCGGGUGCUAAGGCCAUUUUUCAGAUCGCCAGUUCACGUUUUGGUAGUUUAUCCAUCCACUGCGGCUUCUAUAAUGAGACUAGAUAUGCAAACGCCCUUUAUCUGAUUGCAAUGAAAUGACAGGGAUACACAUUUUUAAGGACAAGACAGUAGCCUAUGGGAUGUAUUUUGAAUGUCCGGGAGUCCUCAAAUAACAUUAUAGUCCCAUCUCGUCGUGUUAACGAAGGCCCGGCAUAUAUUUCGUCAUAGUUUUUAUCAUCAGAUAUUAGUUUUAGCUCGUCAGCAUCUCGGGUUUUUUCUCGGUCACAGAAAAAAAAUUUAGUUACCGAA
rnacentral:lncRNA from 1 species